rnacentral:rRNA from 1 species
GGACUACUAGGGUUUCUAAUCCUGUUUGCUCCCCACGCUUUCGCGUCUCAGCGUCAGCAACGGUCCAGAGGGCCGCCUUCGCCGCCGGUGUUCCUCCUGAUAUCUACGCAUUUCACCGCUACACCAGGAAUUCCACCCUCCUCUACCGCGCUCCAGCCGGUUAGUUUCCGACGCACUUCCGGGGCUGAGCCCCGGGCUUUCACAUCAGACUUGGCCGACCGCCUACACGCCCUUUACGCCCAGUCAAUCCGAACAACGCUUGCACCCUCCGUCUUACCGCGGCUGCUGGCAC